GCAUGCUGCUGAGGAUGUGACGUUUAAAAACUACAGCAACAGUUGACCGCAGAUAGUUCAGUUAUUUUAAAAGAAACACCAAGAGCAACACAGUCAAAAAUAAAAAUGGAUCAGCCAUUAGAUAUUGUCAGUGAUCUUCAACAUUCAUUAAUGAAUUCUCAUGGUCUGCUGAAGAAAAUGAAAGCCAUUUCCCGUCAGCUAAAUGCCUCUCAUACCCUGUUGUUGAUGAAACAAAGUACAAGUAACGAACAGCUGUCUGAAUAUGUACAGGAUAUUAGAAUGAAACUUGAAAUAUUUCAUGAGGAAAUGAUGCAUCAGUUAGCCAGCGCCUUCCAGGAAAAGACAUCUUACCUCAAUUCGUGUUUAGUGCAGUUGCAGCGAGAAGAGGCCACAGUAAAACAACUGUGUUUGGAAACAGAAGGACUUCUAAAGAAAGUUGUUAAAACAGUUAAUCCUGUACAAUUUCAAAGAGGGAAAACUCUCCUGGAAGCUUUUAAGAUAAUUUCAAGAGAAAAUUCUGCUGACCUUGAACUCGAAGAAGAUGUUAUAUGUUUAGACUUUGUACCACAGAGGGCAGCUGAUGACUACUCUAACUUUGGAAGUAUCAGAAUUAAUCAAGCU